UCUUAACUUAAUUAUAUAUCGAUUUUGAACACACACUUUUACCUUCUCGUAACAACAGAAAAAUAUUAAGUUAGUGAAACUUGUAUAUCUAGUGAGCAUCCUUUAGAAGUUGAGUAAAGGUGGAAUUUGCCCGGACGUGUUUUUCUGCCAGAGAAGGACUACUAGGAGCCGGAGAAACAGGAGAAUCGAGGCUAUAUAGGAUGAUGAGGUGCCACAAAUUUUGACCCAGCCAAUGCCAGUAUUAUUAUUGAGGGAACGGAAGUCCUGCAAGACCUGGAUGUAUCCAGAGCCUGUGCCCUGCUAGGGCUGGUAUAUGCUCUCAACCUCAGCUACCCAAAGGAACUAAAAAAUACUUUUGAGGUGUUUCAGAAAAUAAUUCUUGAGCUGGAUGGUCUGAAAGCUAGGCCGAAGGUAAUGUCUUUAAACAGUAAACUGUUGUAUUCCUGAAAUGUUACAUGUAAAAGUUUUGUUGUGCAUACACAUACAGAAGCUGUAAUUUUGACAAUUUUUUACAUGAAGGUUACAGUGUUGUAUUUGUUUGAGACUUUAUGGCGGCUUUAGUUUAUGUGAUGAAGGUAAAAU